rnacentral:tRNA from 1 species
AAGACCUGCAGGAUCUUGACCCGCAUCUACCAACUGCAACUCGGCCGCUUUCAUUAAGCUAAGGCCUCA